GAUGAACGCUGGCGGCGUGCCUAACACAUGCAAGUCGAACGAAGAGGCCCCUUCGGGGGUACUUCAGUGGCGGACGGGUGAGUAACACGUAGGUGACCUGCCCCGAAGUGUGGAAUAACAGUCCGAAAGGAUUGCUAAUACCGCAUGUGGUCUGUGAGGUUAGAGUCUUGCAGACUAAAGCAGACCCGCAAGGGAAUGUGCUUCGGGAGGGGCCUGCGCCCCAUCAGCUAGUUGGUAGGGUAAUGGCCUACCAAGGCAACAACGGGUAGGGGGCCUGAGAGGGUGACCCCCCA
rnacentral:rRNA from 1 species